rnacentral:rRNA from 1 species
CAUGCAAGUCGUACGCUUCUUUUUCCACCGGAGCUUGCUCCACCGGAAAAAGAGGAGUGGCGAACGGGUGAGUAACACGUGGGUAACCUGCCCAUCAGAAGGGGAUAACACUUGGAAACAGGUGCUAAUACCGUAUAACAAUCGAAACCGCAUGGUUUUGAUUUGAAAGGCGCUUUCGGGUGUCGCUGAUGGAUGGACCCGCGGUGCAUUAGCUAGUUGGUGAGGUAACGGCUCACCAAGGCCACGAUGCAUAGCCGACCUGAGAGGGUGAUCGGCCACAUUGGGACUGAGACACGGCCCAAACUCCUACGGGAGGCAGCAGUAGGGAAUCUUCGGCAAUGGACGAAAGUCUGACCGAGCAACGCCGCGUGAGUGAAGAAGGUUUUCGGAUCGUAAAACUCUGUUGUUAGAGAAGAACAAGGAUGAGAGUAACUGUUCAUCCCUUGACGGUAUCUAACCAGAAAGCCACGGCUAACUACGUGCCAGCAGCCGCGGUAAUACGUAGGUGGCAAGCGUUGUCCGGAUUUAUUGGGCGUAAAGCGAGCGCAGGCGGUUUCUUAAGUCUGAUGUGAAAGCCCCCGGCUCAACCGGGGAGGGUCAUUGGAAACUGGGAGACUUGAGUGCAGAAGAGGAGAGUGGAAUUCCAUGUGUAGCGGUGAAAUGCGUAGAUAUAUGGAGGAACACCAGUGGCGAAGGCGGCUCUCUGGUCUGUAACUGACGCUGAGGCUCGAAAGCGUGGGGAGCAAACAGGAUUAGAUACCCUGGUAGU